GGCAAGGCCAGCCGCCCCCGUUGCUCGCCGUCGACGCUCGCCUUCGUCAGUCGCAAACAAAAAAAAACAUUUGAUUCACCGACACUGGUUCCAGCAAAUCUGAAGGACGGUUGUAGCAAAAAAAGACACUGGCUCCAGCAAAAUUCAAAGAUGAUGGAAGCAAAAAUUGGAUGUUGGUUCCAGCAAAAACCAAACGGUGGUAGCAAAAAUAAUUAGGCGCUAGUUCUAGUAAACCCAAAAUGAUGGUAGCAACAAUGGACAUUGGUUUCAGCAAAAACAAAGAGCGACGUAGCAAAAAAUGGACGGUGGUCUUUAUAUUGUACUGUAGCUCCAAGCUGGGCACUAGUUACAGCAAAGACAACCAGACGGUGGUAGCAAAAAAUGGGGCUCUAUCCAGCAAAAUUACCGUCGCCGGUCGGCCGAUCGCAACACGGCGAGUCUCGGUUCCAGCAUCUCCAAGCCAUGGUUGUAGCAUUCCUCGCAGCCGGUCCCAGCAUCUUGCGCCGCCGGAUGCAGCACGCCGUGGCCGCCGCAUUCGCCUCGCCGGUUGUAGCAAAACUGGAAGCCGGUUCCAGCACUGCCAUUGGGAUGCUCUCCGCCGCGUCGCAACUCGCGCGGUCGCCGUCGCCGGAUGCGACGGGUCGCCGCAACAUCGGCAGGCUCCGCAGCGCAGCUCGCGCGGUCGCCCAGCCGGCCGCGACGGGUUAGCCGCAGCAUCGGUGGUCGAGCCUUGCACCUGCAGCGGCGGCGCUAAACCUGAAGGCCAGGCUGUAAUCCUCCUCCUUGUGGCUACCAUGGCUUGGCUUGGAGCGGUGGUCCAUGCGACUGGAGAGAUUCGAUGGAGUGAUUUUGG
rnacentral:rRNA from 1 species